rnacentral:rRNA from 1 species
GACGAACGCUGGCGGCGUGCUUAACACAUGCAAGUCGAACGGAAAGGCCCUGCUUUUGUGGGGUGCUCGAGUGGCGAACGGGUGAGUAACACGUGAGUAACCUGCCCUUGACUUUGGGAUAACUUCAGGAAACUGGGGCUAAUACCGGAUAGGAGCUCCUGCUGCAUGUUGGGGGUUGGAAAGUUUCGGCGGUUGGGGCUGGACUCGCGGCUUAUCCGCUUGUUGGUGGGGUAGUUGCUUACCAAGGCUUUGACGGGUAGCCGGCCUGAGAGGGUGACCGGCCACAUUGGGACUGCGGUACGGACCAGACUCCUACGGGAGGCAGCAGUGGGGAAUAUUCCACAAUGGGCGGAAGCCUGAUGCAGCAACGCCGCGUGCGGGAUGACGGCCUUCGGGUUGUAAACCGCUUUCGCCUGUGACGAAGCGUGAGUGACGGUAAUGGGUAAAGAAGCACCGGCUAACUACGUG